rfam:Haemophilus parahaemolyticus HK385 contig00018, whole genome shotgun sequence.
GGACGAACCCUUGGAGAGAUCCAAUCUGCAAUGCAGAAAAUGGACGCCGAAGGCGAAAAUGCUUAACGCCCGUUAAGUGUGAAACGCUCAGGCAAAAGGACAGGGGAGAAAAG